UGUGGAAAAGUGGGUGAAAGUAACGUGUCAGCUGUGUCGUAAAACACGGAACCGGUGUAAAUGGUGUAUCGGAGGGAAACUGUGUCUAGCAGGAGCCCGGGAAGCCUAAUUAAAAUAGUCGCUUGUUUCAGAAAGAACUUUAAAUUCUCCUGCGACAGUCCGAAUCGGGAACUCAAACUUGCAGUGGGUGUGUUCGGGCAAAAUGUGGACGGUGUGCUGAACGCUUUUUAGGAAAGAGGGUAUCUUUUAUAUGUUUGUGUCUUUAAUAGCAAAAUAGCGAGGCGGAUCCUUUUCUGUGACAUUUGCACGAACAGCAUUUACCACGAAAUGGCCACCAGAAUUGCCAUCAGCACCUUUGUGAAACUCAGGUUACGGCUCAUUUUCUCCCUUGAACCGAUUAAUGGACACGUACCAAGAUACUUGGAAAGAUAAAGGACGUUCCGAUUAAGUGUUGUUAUUACUGCGCCUGUGCAGCAAGACCUUAGAGUAAGAUGAGAGAUGCUAGGUGAAGUGAAGGUGGGGAAGGGCCAUCCGUGGUGGCCAAAAUUGUCAAUAAUGACUUCCAACUGAAGGAUUUCCUCUGAUUUUCAGAGACUUAAAAUGUUCGAGCAUUGGUGAUGCAGCAGCAAACGUGCGCUUGGUAUGCACCACCUCAUCGAAAGGAAUAGUAAAGAAAAAGAUCCCAGAUACACAACUCUGUUUCUGAACUGGGAAAGCUAAAUAGGAAUUGAAGCCUCAUCUGUUUAUGUAUGACUGGAUACGUAGCUCGAAAUAAAUGGCACUUGCGCUGCGGUGCACCAAGGCAUUCUCUUGUAACAUGAUUUAAAGGAGGGUGGUACCUGGUCGUGCGUCUGAGGAACACCACCAACAGCCACGGAGAGCAGCGCUUUGAAAAAGAUGACCCCGGCACGCCGUGUACCAAACUUGAUCGCAGAACGUCCUCCCUCAAAAGUUUUCCUUUGAACUGCCAGCUUGCCUGUGUGGUUUGAAACAACAGAAUGAAGUAAAAACAGAUAUACUUCGUGCAAGUGCUCUAGUUGCUCAAGGUCACAGAUUCAUCAAUCAAAAGAGAGGCCUUCCCAUUAAUCUUUUACCUGGCCAUGACAGUUUCCAUACGUCUCGGGAGCUGCCGUGUCGCGUGGAGUGCUGUUGUCCUGAGUUCGGGACAGUACUGCCGUGAAAGACAAUUGGAUUAGAGCAGAAAUUAGUCACUUUUUAAAACACAAUGUUAAAUUUACCGUACUCUAUGAGUGUAAGUUUCCAUUCAUUAACCCUAAAACAAAAAUACCUUUUUGUGCUGUAGAAUAAGGUUUCAGCUGCGCCAAAUCUCCCUUGUGACACACAACCACGUGUCCCACAAAACGAAGGUGAAUGUCGUGCAACAUUUCUGAUCUCAUACCGGAGCCAGAACUAUUUGCUGUGAGUAGUUUAAAAACUCUUAGCACCCCUGUCACCUCCCCUCUUCCUGCACGCAUCCAGGGCAGGAGCUGGGGAGCGUACCGGGGAGGGAUGCUUGGUCCAUCUUACCAACACUUACAGCUGUUUUGAGGUCCCGUUGCCUCCGUGCACUGACAGAGGGAUGUGAAACUUGUGGUAGAGACUUGUCUUUGUGGCUGAGCUGUGGUACUUUUUGCUUUGUUUAAAUCGCCAAAUUUGGUGAAGCUAUACUCUUUUGAAGCAGCUGUAUACGGUUGUAGAGGCUUGUUUGACUUCUAAUUUCUUUGUAGUAAAAGAUACAUCCUUCGUCCUGCAUGGCUUAUGCGUGAUGGGUGAGCUGAAGAGACAUCACCCCAUCCUGAGAGAGAGCAGGUACAGAGCUGUCAUGGCUUGUGAAAGCUCUCGCGUCUGGGCUUACAGAAGAGGUGAACAAGGCAAGGCUCAGUGCUCGCCGCUCCCCCGCUUUCUGUGCCCAGGAGACGUGAAAAAACCCAACGUACCCGGAGGCAAGAAAUGAAGCAGAGGAGGAGAGCAGAGCUGUGGCAAAGCAGGGGAGAUAACAAGGAGGAGAGAAGGGAGUAACUGGGAGGAGGAGAGGGAUCCCAAAUAGGAGGGCAGAGCUUAAUUGCGGUCUACAUUUUCAAUAUAUCCAGGUAGGGAGACAGGGAUCUAAACUGCAGGAUAGCUUCCAUGGCUAUUGAGAUCAGUGGGAUCACUGCUCUGAACAUGGGAUAUUCCUAAAAUGACAGGUACUCUGAAAAAUGAGGACUUGGAGCACUCAAAUUGUACAUCUAAAAUCAUUGCAUGCUUAAUGAUUUCAGCCUGAAGUUUUAUGGCCUGUUCUCCAUCUACCAAGUGAAUGUAAGAGCAUCUUCUGUCACAGUUGGAUAGUAAAGAUAAAUCUUUGAUGUUUAUUGAGCAUUAAAACUACAGUGAAAGCCCCAUACAAAAAGCAUUAAGGCAAUUAAUAUUCCUGCUUUCUUCUGCAUGGAAUGGAGUUCAGUGGUUUCCAGAAGACUCGUAUGUAAAAAGAUAAUUGAAAACUCCCCUUAUCCAUAUCCACAACAGAGGUGAAUUAAGGAAUUUUAAUCCUGGGAUGGCACAAUUUGUAAGUAAGGGCUUUGCAGCCUUAGCAUUAUUUUAAUAUGCAUUGUUACGCAAAAAAGGUCUAAGUACUUAAAAAGAAGUUGAACAUGAUCAAGAGCUUUCUUUCUAGAAAUAUCUGCAUUUAGUAUGAAGAAUUCCAUAGUGAGAGAAUAAUUUCUAAGUCCUUUUUGCCAGUUAUGGAUACUACUGCUUAACUCUCCCACCACCCGGGAUGCACGUAUGCCAUGUUUAGAUGACUGUUAUAAUUAGAUAGAUAUUUGGUCUGUCAUCGGGAUUGUAACAGUUUAAAAUGUGUAUUGAAUCUUGUUCUCUACCUCAAGCUUGCAGGUCUAUGGAGCAUUUAGUCAUUAAUAUUUUCUAGUCUGUGCAUUUGUGCUAUACUGUAGUAGUGAAGUAACAGAUCUAAGGAUACCAUAAUUCUUACUUGUCCUAAUCAAAUAUUAAAAUCUGAACACUGUUAAGAAGCUGGAAUUAUGAACCAUGAUGUUGUUUUCCUCGUUGUCAUUUUUUAGGUACAGGCUGAUUCUUACAAAUUUUUGUCUCUAGAAUCACCUCUCCAACUCUAGGUUACCUUUCUCCAAGAAGAUGGCCAUCUUUUCAUGUUAAAACUAAGCUAAUGAUAUGAAAGAAAAAGUGAAAGGUAUGACCUGCAUGCAUUCAUUACACAGGCAGAGCUCCUGGUUGCAUUCAAAGCACUGCAAAAGGAGCACACGGCUUUGCCUUUCACGGCAAGAGCUUUUAUGUAUGUGAGUGAAUAGUGAAAAUUGCUAUGAAAUACUUGAAUGCCCAGUUAUGGAGUCACAACUGAGAGGUUAAAUGCCAGAUAAUGGCAUUAUUGAUGUAAGAUGGAAGGAUUCUCAUUAGUGGAGAGCCAGCUGCUCAAACUACCCGUCCAGCUUUUUGGUCCUUUCUACCAUAUUCCUCUUCUCUUUGUACCCAUUUUGGCGGGUUUUUCCCCUUCUUCUGUCAGCAUCUUAUUUUUCAUCUUUAUUCAUUGUUGCUUUCUAUGCUUUUCUCUAGCAACAGAAACAUAUUUACUUGCAAGCUGAUCCCAUCUGUGCUCCUGCGUUGUAAAGCUUCCCCCUGCCGUGGCACUGCAUGUCUGAUUUAGUUUCGUACGACUGCUAGGAAGCUCCAGCCUUCAGGAGUGCCAGGAUUUCACACCGCAGAUCAGACAGGCAGGGUACUGCCGCUUGGGCACGGAUUUAAAAAAAGAGGGUGUGCAGUUUUUCUUGCGUAAGAAAAUGCAAUAAUACUGUAAUCAUUUGACGCCUGAUAGUUCACUGAAACGGAAGACUGCUGAAGUUUUAACUUAAUUGGGUCUCUCAUGCUUGCACUGUUUCCUGCUCAUGAACCAGAAUAUAUGGGAACUAUAACUCAAAUAACUAAGCUGUCCCUGCUGCACUCUCAUACCUUGCAAAUUAAGUAGGAUCAGGACUCAAAAGAGAUAACUAAGGAGACCUAUGUCCUGGAGGAAAUUACCAUGAAUUACAAAAUGAUGGUUUCUCUCUUAAUAAAAAAAUGAACUAAUGCUCCAGUGUGACACUAUGGAACUCUUCAGUUUAUAAAGGUACUGUCUUUCAGGAAAUAUAUAUGUUAAUCCAGCUGUCAUGCAUAAAUUCUCAUUUGGGGCCUGAUCUAAUUCCCAUUGAAGUAGAGAUGGACUCAAUCUACUUAAAUUUCUCCAUGCAGUUUCACGGCUUUCCACUAUCUUCAUCUGUUGUAUCACAUUACUGUGUGUGGGUAGAGUUGCCACAUUCCACCCAUGACACAACUGUUUCAGUGGCAAGUGAAGUGAUACGUGCAUAUGGUAUAUGCAGUCUUUACACAAACCGUAUGCUUUCAGACAGCUAUCUAUGUAAUUGGGGGAAGUUACGGAGGCUUCUUGACUAUUAAGUCCAUUUGCUACAUUAUUAGAAGACGUUGCAAACUUUGUUUAUCAUUCCCAUGACCUUACUUUUGAUAUUUGAGAGACAGAAUGAGUGAUUUAUUGUUUGCUUUUUGUAAAUUAGUAACUCAGUUUAAUUACUUUGAAUAACAAUAAAAUGGUUGCAUGAAGAUUUUAGAAUCAAUCUCUUUUUCUCAUUUCUUGCAUCAAACCUUAGGCCAAAAUUUUACUUACGUAACAGUAAGUGACUUCAUACAAUUUCCAGUUACAGUUAUACAUAGUCUCCCUUUUUGCUACCUGUUACACAUUUCCAAGAUGUUAAAUAUCCUCAUUGCUGAAUGUUUUGUAUAGGAGAUCAUUAUUUAUCUGAAGAGUUUUGGCUAAGGACAGUCUCUAGUGGGGAAAAAAAAUCCUCCACUGAAUUUAUAAAUUACGCUUUAAUCAUGAGGCCAUUAUAGGUGCUAAUAUUCUUUUUUUUUUUUUUUUUUCCACUGGUAGUUACAAAAAACCCACCCAAAAUGACUGAAUAAAUUUAGCUAGUAGUUAAGUGUGGAUAUUUCUAUAUUAUCUGAAUGGACGAAAUACUUUCCUUAGGACAUUAGGUUUGCAGAGAAGGGGGACGACAUAGUAUUGGGUGAAACACCAACGCAGCCAAAAUAAUGAAAUACUAAAACUCGGCAGCUUCUCAUGGAGCUACGCGUUAGAUCGCUUCCCUCCUGCAGAGCUGGGUCUGUUACUCUGGGACACCCUGGGGUAGGAUUCACCUAAAUAAAUGUGGGCAUAUAUUGUAGUGUCUGUGAGCUGCUCACCGCAGGCUGCCCCUAUAGUCAGCGGAGGCUACGGUACGCAUCCUUGAGGCUGUAAUUUCUUUUUGAAGGCUUUGAAGGCAGGCGUUGGAGCUGAGAUUAUGAAACUGGAAGAGGUUUGUUUCCAAGUGCUGGGAGAUCUCAGUGAGCUGAACAAACGCAGGAUAUUCACUGCUGCAAAGGUGAGGGGGGGUGACUCCAUUCCUAUAGCUGUGCUGGCUAAAAGGCUGCACCACGAAACGGCAUUUGCUCAGAAAAAGAUGAAAAUCAUUGCCUGCUUCUCAGGUGAUCACGGCAGGUGACAGGAAGAAAAUUUGUCCAACGUUUACAGCUGGUGAUCGGUGUGGUGCAUUAGGGGUUUUUCCACUCCUUCCCAAAUAUUAGGUACUUUGAAUAAAUGCCUUCAGCUGGGGUGAAAUGCCAGGUUGAAGGAGCCACCAAUCUGACCUGCUGUUGUUUCCUCUGUGUCCAGAAUUUUUGGGUUGCAAGAUUAAAAAAAAGGACAAAAAGUUGUAGGACAAAAAUCAAAAUGUUUGAGCCUAAUGCAGCAGCUCCAGGCUAAAUCACAUUUCCAAAAGUGUGGUUUUCAAUAUCAAGCCUACUCCUGAGGAACUGGCAAA